GGCCCUGUGGUGAAAUUCAUAUUGAGUUGCAAGCUCAAUGAUGUACAUUAAGGUGUGCCGGGGUCU
rnacentral:tRNA from 1 species